rnacentral:misc_RNA from 1 species
CAACCUAAACCUAGCCUUCAGUUGUUGCCUAGAUUGAGCUAGCGAAAGCAGGCUUAUCUGAGCAACAUCUACCAAAUCUAAACAAAUGGAGCCUAACUAAGCUCAAACACUAAAACCAAAUUCUCAACGAUGGAUAUCUUGGUUCCCAUAACGAUGAAGAACGCAGCGAAGUGCGAUAAGCAGUGCGAAUUGCAGAACCGUGAGUCAUCAGAUUUUUGAACGCAACUGGCACUGACUGGUCCUCCAGUCAGUAUGCUUGUUUCAGUGUCUUGUUCUCUCCUCACCCAAAUCUUAAUGUGAGAGAUACCCUUCUCUUACUAAGUACGAAAGCACUCUGUAUUCUGCAGGCAUCCAGAUUGGAUGCACUCAAUGCAGCAGUCACAUUUCCAAUGUGAACUCAUUGAGAGUAGAGACAGCGCAGGAAACUGCAAGUGCUUAGACACUAAAACUU